GAAGCAAGCCAGACAGUCGCUGGCCGCGGCUGCAAGGCCGUGGCGGGAGGAAGGUCCGGACUCCAUACAGCAGGGUGACGGUUAACGGCCGUCCGCUGAAAGCCGCAAGCGCUUUAGCUUCGGUAUAAGGCGAGGAAUAGGGCCACAGAGACGAGCGUAUUAAGUUACGGUGAAACGCGGUAACCUCCACCCGGAGCAAUUCCAAAUAGGCACGCGUUGAUGCUGCUCGCGGAGCGUGCGGGUAGGAAGCUUGAGCGCUGGAGUAAUCCAGCGCCUAGAGGAAUGGCUGUCAUAGCGCGCGGUUGCAAGACCUGGUGCCGUAACAAAAUCCGGCCUAUCGGCUUGCUUCACUU
rnacentral:RNase_P_RNA from 1 species